GACAGAGGUUGCAAACGUUGUUCGGAAUCACUGGGCAUAAAGCGCACGUAGGCGGUCUGUUAAGUCAGGUGUGAAAGCCCCCGGCUCAACCGGGGAACAGCAUUUGAUACUGGCAGACUCGAGGAUGGUAGGGGUGAGUGGAACUCCAGGUGGAGCGGUGAAAUGCGUAGAUAUCUGGAGGAACACCGAUGGCGAAGGCAAUCCCCUGGGCCUGCACUGACGCUCAUGCACGAAAGCGUGGGGAGCAAACAGG
rnacentral:rRNA from 1 species